AGAGUUUGAUCCUGGCUCAGGACGAACGCUGGCGGCGUGCCUAAUACAUGCAAGUCGAGCGGACGAAUCGAAAGCUUGCUUUUGAUUCGUUAGCGGCGGACGGGUGAGUAACACGUGGGCAACCUGCCCUGUAGACGGGGAUAACACCGAGAAAUCGGUGCUAAUACCGGAUAACACGAAAUGUCGCAUGACGUUUCGUUGAAAGACGGCGCAAGUUGUCGCUACAGGAUGGGCCCGCGGCGCAUUAGCUAGUUGGUGAGGUAACGGCUCACCAAGGCGACGAUGCGUAGCCGACCUGAGAGGGUGAUCGGCCACACUGGGACUGAGACACGGCUCAGACUCCUACGGGAGGCAGCAGUAGGGAAUCUUCCGCAAUGGACGAAAGUCUGACGGAGCAACGCCGCGUGAGCGAAGAAGGCCUUCGGGUCGUAAAGCUCUGUUGUUAGGGAAGAACAAGUAACGCAGUAACUGGCGUUACCGUGACGGUACCUAACGAGAAAGCCACGGCUAACUACGUGCCAGCAGCCGCGGU
rnacentral:rRNA from 1 species